UCUGCCUGUCGGAUCACGCGCGGAGGACAACCGAUUUUUGUUCCCAGAUCCACCGCCCGACGCAUAGCGUUGGCCUUCUCUUAACCUUCUCCCGAGAUCCGCGCGCGUGGCCGAGGGCGGCUGCCCGGCGAGCCGGCCACCAGGAUGCGCCGGUGACGACACAGGCCAUAGAGGGCUUUGGCUGCCGUCGUCCUCCACGCGCAGGCGCAACUCGUGCCACGGGGAGACCUCCUUCCCGGCGUCCUCCACGAGUCCAUUCUGCCGCAGCAGUACUCCGACGUGAUGCGUUCCGGCGGUCUCUUCCCCCGACCUCGCCGGGAACAAGUCCGCCCCCGUGUGGCCGAUCGACAAGGCGCUCGGCAUCACCAACCGCCAGCAGGUGCUCGACCUCGGCAUCGGCAAGUACACCGAGACCUGCCGCGGCAUCGUCACCAAGUACGUCGCCGAGUGGGAGGCCGUCGUCACGCGCUCCCGGAGGUGGAUCGACUUCAGGGACGACUACAAGACCAUGGACCUCAACUACAUGGAGAGCGUCUGGUGGGUCUUCGGCCAGCUCUGGAAGAAGGAACUCGUGUACAAGGGUUUCAAGGAUGGAGGAGGACGUAUAGGUGCUGGCCUGAUGUGGACAGAGGGGGAUUGGGGGAUGAACAUGUACUGAUGUGUACGGAGGAGCACGUCCGAGCAAAAUUGUAAUCUGAGCAAAAUUGUAAUCUGGCCUGAUGUAGAAGUAUUUCAAAUAUGUCAUUCUAUUUGUUCAGCUUAUUUGUGCUACAUCAGACUGAUUGCAUUGUGUAACUUCUAUAUUUUUUAUUAUUUCUUAAAUUCAUUA